rnacentral:rRNA from 1 species
GACGAACGCUGGCGGCGUGCCUAAUACAUGCAAGUCGAACGCAGUGGGGACGGGUGAGUAACACGUGGGUAACCUCCCAUCAGAGGGGCUCACACUUGGAAACAGGUGCUAAACCGAUACUGAUGGAUGGACCCGCGGUGGCUUCGCUAGUUGGUGAGGUAACGGCUCACCAAGGCCACGAUGCAUAGCCGACCUGAGAGGGGGAUCGGCCACACUGUGACGGAGACACGGCCCAGACGCCUCCGGGAGGCAGCAGGAGGGAAGCUUCGGCAAUGGACGAAAGUCUGACCGACCAAUGCCGCGUGAGUGAAGAAUGUUUUCGGAUCGUAAAACUCUGUUGUUAGAGAAGCGGUAUCUAACCAGAAAGCCACGGCUAACUACGUGCCAGCAGCCGCGGUAAUUC